rnacentral:rRNA from 1 species
GGGCCCGCACAAGCGGUGGAGCAUGUGGUUUAAUUCGAUGAUACGCGAGGAACCUUACCAGGGCUUAAAUGUAAGUUGCAUAGAGUAGAGAUAUUCUUUUCUUCGGACUACUUACAAGGUGCUGCAUGGUUGUCGUCAGCUCGUGCCGUGAGGUGUCAGGUUAAGUCCUAUAACGAGCGCAACCCCUGUUGUUAGUUGCCAGCGAGUCAAGUCGGGAACUCUAACAAGACUGCCAGUGCAAACUGUGAGGAAGGUGGGGAUGACGUCAAAUCAUCACGGCCCUUACGUCCUGGCUACACACGUGCUACAAUGGUAGGUACAGAGGGCAGCUACCGGGUGACCGGAUGCG